UUUCUUGAAUUCUUUGAAACCUUUUGCAAAGUAUUCGGACUUGUGUUUAUUCAAAAUAAACUAUAGUCCAACUGAGAGUGAUCUUCGGUGAAUGUCAUACAACAUGAGUAGUAUUAUGUUGUGGACAAGUGCCACUAACAUCUAAGUGAAUUAACCUCAACAACUUUGUGAUUCUUUCUUCUUUCCAAAAGAAUAAAGAUUCGAACAUUUCGCCUCCAUACAAUUUUAAUAAGAAGGUAUUGGAUCCGGAUCUAACGAUCUAAAGCAUCCAUCUAUGACCAACUCGUAAUUUAUGUUUUAGAGGUAUCACAACUUUAGUUGGGAUUACUCACUACUUUGCAACCUUUUGGGUUUUAAGCAUCGUUAUAUUCUAAACAGUUAACAAUACCAUAUCAUCUUUACUAUAGAGACAAUCAAUUAGAUUACUAUAAUCCAAUCAUUGACUAAUAAAGAACAAUGUUUCGUCAAACAAAACAUUCAUCCAUCUCUACUAUAGUGACGGAAUUAAGUUCCUUAAAAUUGGAAUGUAAAGA
rnacentral:lncRNA from 1 species